GUGGGGAAUAUUUCGCAAUGGGCGCAAGCCUGACGAAGCAACGCCGCGUGGAGGAUGAAGGCCCUAGCGGUCGUAAACUCCUGUCUAGUGGGACGAAAGAUCGGCGGGCAAAUAGUCCGCCGGUGUGACGGUACCGCUGGAGGAAGCUCCGGCCAACUCCGUGCCAGCAGCCGCGGUAAUACGGAGGGAGCAAGCGUUACUCGGAAUUACUGGGCGUAAAGGGCGCGUAGGUGGUCCUGUAAGUCCCAUGUGAAAGCCCCGGGCCUAACCCGGGAAGUGCACGGGAUACUGCGAUGCUUGAGUGCAGGAGAGGAAGGCGGAAUUCCCGGUGUAGCGGUGAAAUGCGCAGAUAUCGGGAGGAACACCAGCGGCGAAGGCGGCCUUCUGGACUGCAACUGACGCUGAGGCGCGAAAGCCAGGGGAGCAAACGGGAUUAGAAACCCCAGUAGUCC
rnacentral:rRNA from 1 species